rnacentral:lncRNA from 10 species
CUGAGACCCAGCCACUGGAGACCAUUAGCCUAGGGAGGUCAUUGGUGUCCUUGCCAAGCCCUGUUUUGGUUCUGGGUCCAGGAGACAGAGUGUAGUCAGAGGAGAGGAAUCACAGACAGCCCAGUGCAGACAACAGGCAACUCUUUCAAGGAGUCAUCUUAUAAAGCAACUAGAACAGUACCUGGCAGACACAAGACACGUAAUACAUAUUUUUGAAUGAGGAACUUGGCUCCAGAAGCCAUGAGAAUAACUUUGUUCCAACACAUUCAGGCUGCG